UGAAUCUGGUGAUGAAGCAAUCCCCCAUUAAAUUGAAGCCGAAUCCCGCCGCGGAGAACUCCCCUUUUUUGGUCCCCAUUGAUGAAAGGCGGUGGUCUCGGCGGCGGAGUUUUGUCGGAAAAUGGGCGGCGGCGGCGGGGAAUCGGAAUCGCACAAGGACGACGAGUGGCCGGAGCCUUCGGUUGCCGGAGUCGUUGAAGCGCCAAUUCUUUUCUUUGUAGUCACGCACAAGGCUUUCCGCGCGGAGCUCGAUUCAGUGCGCCGCUUUGCGGCGACGGCAGCCGAGGGCGGCGCCGUGAGAGGAGAAGUCGUCGUUGACCUUUGCCGGAGGCUCGAGUUUUUGAAGCUUGUGUAUGACUACCAUAGUGGUGCAGAAGACGAGGUUAUCUUUCUCGCGUUAGAUGCUCAAGUAAAGAACGUAGUACAGACGUAUGCCCUUGAACAUAGGGCUAUCGAUGAUAGCUUCAAUUGCAUCUUCCACUACUUGGAUGUCUUGAUGAACAAAGACGAAGAUGCAUCUCAGACGUUUCAAGAUCUUAUUUCUUCGAUUGGUACUGUUCAGACCAUGAUUUGCCAUCACAUGCAUAAAGAAGAGGAGCAGGUGUUUCCUUUGCUGAUGGAGAAAUGCUCUCCCGAAGAGCAGUCUCAGCUGGUCUGGCAGUAUAUGUGCAGUGUUCCCACCAUACUACUGGAGGAAUUUUUACCAUGGAUGACGCUUUAUCUUAGUUCAGAUCAAAAAAUAGAUGUCCUAAACUGCGUAGAGGUUAUCAUUCCUAAAGAAAGACUACUUCAAGAGGUCGUCGUUUCCUGGAUUCAGCAUGGGAGCUCUUCUUCAGGUGCCAACAGCAUAUACGGAAAGAGGCAUCAACUGCUAAGUGGACUAUCCAAUAGGGACAUACAUAAGCUAUAUCCACUUCAGAUUUCGUCUGACCGAGGACAGCAAUUCAAGAAAGCGUGUUCAAUCCAAGAGAACUCUGUGGAGGAACCUGUCAAGGGUAUCCAUAUUUGGCACGCUGCUCUGCAAAGAGAUCUCAGUCAAAUUAUCGAGGAAUUGCUUCAUAUAAGAAGCUCAAACUGUUCCUCGAGUUUGUCUUCAGUCAUUGUUCAGCUCAAAUUCAUUGCAGAUGUCUUGAUCUUCUAUAGCAAUUCUUUGGACAAAAUAUUCUGUAAUUUGUCGAAUCUUGUGGCUGAGGAUAGCAUGUCUCGAUGCAGUCCACUUGUAGACGAAUGCCAGAUUAAGGUUCUCCAACAGCUGCUGCUCUAUGAAUCUCAAGAUUCGACACAGCUAGAAAACUUUGUGGAGAUGCUUUAUCAGGAACUGGAAUCCCUUGUUAGAGGGCUGGACAAAAACUUGAUUCUGCUUGAAACUGAGGUUUUCCCAUCCAUUACAACGACUUGCACCGUUGAAAUGCAGAUGUGGUUGCUGCAGGCAUGCCUUUAUAUGAUGCCACUCGGGCUGCUGAGGUGCACGGUUACUUGGUUCUCAUCUCAUUUAACCGAGCACCAGUCAAAAUCUAUCAUAAAGAAAGUAGAGCUCGGAUGUCCUGCGAUAAGUAAGCCUUUUACAUCUCUACUAUGCGAAUGGAUCCGCAUUGGCUCUUCAGGGAAAAUCUCAGCUGAAAAGUUUAGAUCAAAUCUGGAAGAAACAUUCAACGGUAGAAGCUUUUACUUGGCUGAGCAAAACAGGCAGAAAAUUAGAUUCUCUGAUUGGAUGUUCAACCGAAAUGCUACAACAAUGGUAAAGAUGAGUGCAGACUUUCCAUCUUCUUCUGCUGGCUCUUAUCCGAGUGAGAUGAAUAUCCGCAUAUUCUUCUCUCAGAAGUUCAAAAGAAGGCCAUCGCUUCAAAGAGGUCUCGUGGAAGCUGACCAUGGUACUUCAACGACUCUCGAAUCUAGGCCGAUGGAUGCUAUUUUGUAUUUCCAUAGAGGUCUGAUAAAAGAUCUUGAGUAUCUUGUCAGCUUAUCAGCUAAGCUGGCUGCAGAUGUCGGAUUCAUCGCUGAGUUUAAGAAGCGCUUCGACCUUUUGCGUACCAUCUUUCAAAUUCAUAGCGACUCAGAGGAUGAGAUAGCUUUUCCGGUUCUUGAAUCAAAGGGAGCACUUCGAAACAUAAGCCACUCCUACAGCAUGGACCAUAAGUUGGAAUUCAAAUACUUCACAAAAACAUCAAAAAUCCUGGAAGAGAUAACUGAAUUGUGUGAUCAGCAGGGAAGCAACGAGACUAGGGCGCGGGUGGAGAAGUUGCUUUCGAAAAUCCAUCAUACUUGCGUGUCUAUGUCUAAGGUACUAACUGAUCACAUGUAUCGUGAAGAAGUUGAGAUUCUUCCGUUGUUUAGAGAGAGCUUCUCGGUUGAUGAGGAAGAAAAGAUCAUAGGCCGUAUGCUUGGGAGGACAAGAGCGGAGAUGCUGAAAACAGUGAUAACAUGGCUAAUGUCACAUCUGAAUUGUGAUGAGCAGCAGUCAAUGAUGUCUAUAUGGCUCAAGGUUGCUAGAAACACUAAGUUCGAUGAAUGGCUACGAGAAUGGUGGGAAGGUAUGGCGGAACAUAAUGUACACACAAAGCAGGUGGGAUCCAGACCUCCUGCUGACCCACUGGAAGUUGUUUCAACGUAUCUGCUGAAAGAUGGUGCACAAAUGAAAAAAGUUGGCCAUUACAGAGAGAUGCAAAAGGAACCCUCAACCGAGGAUUCUAAGCAUUCUGGAUCUUCUGAUGCUAAAAAAUCAACUUCUAUUGGCGGAGGGAAGGAUGCGUUUCAGACUCAAGAUUUAAGCCUAUAUUGGAAUGAGACUGACAAAAAGAAACUCGAUGAAGUGGAUAAGAUAUGCCAUGAUGUAGUGGAGAUAACUAGUACAGAACGUCGGGAAUUGAGCCACCAAGAGCACCCUCUAAGCAUGAAUCAGGAGGAGCUGGAAGCUGCAAUAAGAAGGGUGUCUCGUGACAGUAAUCUGGAUUCUCGACAGAAAACGUAUCUAAUCCAGAAUUUGCUAAUGAGCCGUUGGACUAUAAUGCGAAAGAUGCACCACGAGGCUUCUGAAGGGACUUGCGAGGGAGAUAUCCCCGGUCAAAGUCCGUCUUAUCGAGAUCCUCUUGGAGCAACUUUUGGUUGCAAUCACUAUAAGAGAAAUUGUAAGCUUUUGGCUUCAUGUUGCAAUAAGCUAUACACAUGCAUACGUUGCCAUGACGACGAAACAGACCAUUCAGUGGACAGAAAAGCUAUAACGAAAAUGAUGUGCAUGAAAUGUAUGGUAAUUCAGCCGAUUGGGCAGAACUGUAUGAGCCAAUCUUGCAAUGGCUUCUCCAUGGGAAAAUACUAUUGCAAAAUUUGCAAAUUGUUUGAUGACGAAAGGAAAAUAUACCAUUGCCCUUACUGCAACUUGUGCCGAGUCGGGAAGGGGCUGGGCGUUGAUUAUUUCCACUGUAUGAAGUGCAAUGCUUGUAUGGGGAAGGCUCUAUAUGUACACAUAUGCAGAGAGAAGUGUCUCGAGGACAACUGUCCUAUCUGCCAUGAGUACAUAUUUACCUCAAACUCGCCAGUCAAGGCACUUCCAUGUGGCCAUUUGAUGCAUUCAUCUUGUUUUCAGGACUACACUUGCUCUCACUAUAUUUGUCCGAUAUGUAGCAAGUCACUGGGUGAUAUGCAGGUGUACUUCGGGAUGUUAGACAUUCUGUUAGCAGAAGAGAAGAUCCCGGAAGAGUAUUCUGGCCGGACUCAGGUUAUACUAUGCAAUGACUGUGAACAACGAGGAACUGUCUCAUUUCAUUGGCUUUACCACAAGUGCUCAUAUUGUGGUUCGUACAACACGAGGGUUCUCUGAUAUGAACUCCCAAAAAGUUUGUAUGUACACCUGACUAGAUGUAGAUAUGUCCCAUUUACCAUUUAUGCAACUGUCUUUGUUGCAAUGAUCAUAUUGACAUUUUUGGGACAAGGAGAGGAGCUGGUCGUCUUGGGUUUGGCCAUGGCCGUGUUCCCUGGGGGCGCCAUGCCUAACUGCAACUGCAAGAGGUAAUCAUCUCUAGGCGACGUGUCUUGUCGUGGAGUUCCUCCAAAGACGGGAUACCUCUCACAUAUUGCAGUGUGGAAACUGGCGGACUCGAUGGAUACUUGCACGCUGCGAUGCCUGUCCGCUGCCACUUCUCAUGGCCAUCCUCAGAAUGGAAGCGUGAUUCAAGAAUGGCGAAGGCAUCCUUUUCUCUGAGAGAGAAAGAGGAGUAGAAGAAAGAAGAAGAUGGAGCAAUGGCAGAGUGAUGUAAAGUGUUUGUGUGAGUGUUGGGGUUUUGGUGAAUGGCUGAGUAAAGUUUGUAGGCAAAAAUGAUGGGAAUGUUUGUUUGAAAUGUAAAGGAUAACUGGAGAUUCAUAUUUUGCUCAGAAAAAAGUGGAUUUCCUUACUCUGAGGGCCAUACUAUUUAUAGUCGCUCUGCCCUGUUUUGUUGAUAUUAUGUUAAGUGAAA